AUUGAACGCUGGCGGCAGGCCUAACACAUGCAAGUCGAGCGGUAGAGAGAAGCUUGCUUCUCUUGAGAGCGGCGGACGGGUGAGUAAUGCCUAGGAAUCUGCCUGAUAGUGGGGGAUAACGUCCGGAAACGGACGCUAAUACCGCAUACGUUCUACGGGAGAAAGAGGGGGCUCGUCGGACCUCACGCUAUCAGAUGAGCCCAGGUCGGAUUAGCUAGUUGGUGGGGUAAAGGCUUACCAAGGCGACGAUCCGUAGCUGGUCUGAGAGGAUGAGCAGUCACACUGGAACUGAGACACGGUCCAGACUCCUACGGGAGGCAGCAGUGGGGAAUAUUGGACAAUGGGCGAAAGCCUGAUCCAGCCAUGCCGCGUGUGUGAAGAAGGUCUUCGGAUUGUAAAGCACUUUAAGUUGGGAGGAAGGGUCGUUACCUAAUACGUGACGAUUUUGACGUUACCGACAGAAUAAGCACCGGCUAACUCUGUGCCAGCCGCCGCGGUAACAC
rnacentral:rRNA from 1 species